GAAACUUACAUUGAAAUUUCCAUUUAAUUCCUAGAGUCCACAUUAGCCCUUGCAAUAUUUCUGACAUAAAGUGAUUUCUUUGAUCAGAGUCAAUAUUUUCAACAAUUCCAUGCCUGGGAGUUAUUUGUUCUAGAAUUACUUCAGUUACAAUGUUCGCAGUAGCAGAUACUGAAGGGAAAGCUUCCACCCACCCUGACAAAUGAACUACCAAGACUAAUAAGUAUUUAAAUCUACCUACUCUAAGGAGUUCUGUAAAAUCUACCUGUACAUUUUGGAAGCAUUGAAUUCCUGGUUCUUGCCCCCUUUGGGCUGAGUGCAGAUAAUUUUCCUGUUUACCUUUUGACAUACUACACAACUCCUGUGCACUUGUUCAGCCAGGGUAUAUAUAUUCCUAC